UUUCAGUUGAGAGAAUGGCCAUUCACGCUCUCUCCGACAAAAAAGCAAAUGACAAAAAAAACCCAAAUCUUUCUCUUUACCCGACUCCAACGGCCGUAGAACCACACACUCCGGCAUCCCCUCCUCCAACGGCCGAAGUACCACACACUCCGUCGAGCUGUUGCCGCCGCUAAAACCACCGAACAGGGCAGCGGUGGUUUCUCUCUCUCACUCUCUCUCUUUAUCCACCUUCGUCUUAUCUCUCACUCUUUUUUGUUUUUCCCCUUCCUCUCCCAUAUUCUCUAGACCACCACUGUCGAGUGCAGACAUAUAUAAUCCCGUCCCUGCAACCAUUAAGGGCAGCAUCAAUCAAGAGUGUGAGCAGCCAUUGGGGAUCCUAAAUUGCCAUUCUGUGGUUUGAGUUUUGAGGUUGGUUUCUAGUUCUUUUGAGCAUUAUCUGAUUCUCGCACACACAGAAAACAGAACUGGGAUUCCAAUCCAAUAAAUAGUUGCAUUUGGAGCUCUGUUGAACUGAAAGUAAGCAAACAUAACAACCAAAGGUGCAAAUCAUGGAAGGUCUGUCGGCUUCAUAUCUCCUUGUUAAUUCAAUUCGUAUUCCCACCACAAUCCACUUAGAACCAUCUCGAAUUCUACGAAAUAAGGCAUCAACUUCAAGAACAACAAGAGAUCUACCAAUUCUACCUCAAACACAACCUAAUCGACACAAAAACUCCUUCAAGAUUCCUCCCAGAACACAGAAAUUCACAGAGAAAGAUGCAUUUCCAUCAUCUUUACCACUCCAUACCAAGAAUCCACUUGCCAUAUACAAAGACAUCCAGAGAUUUGCCAGGGAAGGGAAGCUGAAGGAGGCCCUUACCAUCUUGGACUACUUGGACAAACAAGGAAUUCCAGUGAACCCAACCACAUUUUCUUCACUUCUUGCUGCAUGUGUUCGAUCAAAGUCCCUCACUGAAGGCAGGCAAAUACAUGCUUUUAUUCGGAUAAAUGGGCUGGAAAACAAUGAAUUCCUAUGUACCAAGCUCGUCCACAUGUAUGCUUCUUGUGGCUCGAUCGAAGAGGCGAAGAAAGUGUUUGAUGAUAUUCCUUGUGGAAGUGUCUACCCGUGGAAUGCUUUGCUUCGAGGUGGUGUUAUUCGAGGUGGGCGACAGUAUCGAGAAGUGCUGGAAACGUAUUCGAGAAUGCGAGAUUUGGGGAUUGAAUUAAAUGAGUAUUCCUUUUCCUGCCUGAUCAAAAUCUUUGCAGGCUCAUCUGCAUUCAUCCAAGGUAUGAAGACCCAUGCCCUUUUGAUCAAGAAUGGCUUUGCAGAUGGAUCUGUUGUCCUCCAAACUAGUUUGAUUGAUAUGUACUUCAAAUGUGGCAAGAUUAAAUUGGCCCGGCGAGUAUUUGAAGAAGUUCUUGAAAGAGAUGUUGUUGUCUGGGGUGCUAUGAUCGCUGGUUUUUCACACAAUAGGCUUUACAGAGAGGCAUUACAGUAUUUGAGGCAGAUGAGAAGACAAGGCAUAAAUCCAAACUCAGCUAUUCUGACAAUGAUCCUUCCUGUUUUUGGAGAACUGUGGACCCGAAAACUGGGUCAAGAGAUCCAUGCAUAUGUGAUCAAGACGAAGAAUUACGCAAGACAGUUGUUCGUUCAGUCUGCAUUGAUUGACAUGUACUGCAAAUGCGGGGACAUGAGUUCAGGAAGGAGGGUAUUCUAUGCCUCAACGGAGCGAAAUGCUGUUUCUUGGACUGCCCUCAUGUCAGGUUACAUUUCAAAUGGUAGUCUUGAGCAGGCUCUGAGAUCAAUUGUCUGGAUGCAGCAAGAAGGGGUUAAGCCUGAUGUUGUAACGAUUGCAACUGUUCUUCCAGUUUGUGGAGAGAUGAAGGCUCUUAAACAAGGAAAGGAGAUUCAUGGAUAUGUGGUGAAGAAUGGAUUUCUACCCAAUGUGUCCAUAGUUACCUCCUUAAUGGUCAUGUACUCUAAAUGUGGUAACUUAGAUUAUUCUUGCAAGUUGUUCCAUAGAAUGGAGAGAAGGAAUGUAAUCUCAUGGACAGCUAUGAUAGAUUCAUACUUGAACAACCAGUGCUUAGAAGAAGCAGUGGGAGUAUUUCGGUUGAUGCAACUUUCCAGGUACAGACCAGAUUCUGUAGCUGUAGCAAGGAUUUUAAGCAUUUGUGGUGAAUUGGGGGCCUUAAAGGUUGGGAAGGAGUUACAUGGAUAUGUCUUGAAGAGGGAUUUUGAAUCCAUUCCUUUCAUUUGUGCAGAACUUAUAAAGAUGUAUGGGAGAUGUGGAAGAAUUAACCAUGCUAGGUUGGUUUUUAAUGCAAUCUUUACGAAGGGAUCAAUGACGUGGACUGCAAUUAUAGAAGCAUAUGGAUAUAACAAUCAGUAUCGAGAUGCACUCAAUCUCUUUAAUAAAAUGCAGUCAAAUGGUUUCUCUCCGAACCGUUACACUUUUGAUGUGCUUCUAUCUAUUUGUGCUAAAGCUGGAUUUGUGGAUGAGGCUUGCCAAAUAUUUAAUUCCAUGGUUCGAAGAUACAACAUUAAGCCAUCAGAAGGAAAUUUUUCCUGCCUAAUUGGACUGCUUACACAUCUGGGACGCAUUGAAGAGGCUCAAAGAUAUAUCCAUAUGAGAUCAUCCCUGAUAUAAUUGAUCAGUCAAGGAGAUACUCCCAUCUAUCUUCCUCCAGAAAAGGUGUGUCUCCCUCUCUCAUUAUACGUUUAAUAUUGUUUUUUUGAAUUUCUUCUUAUGUGUUUUCAAAAUUUGCCCCUUUUUACUAGUUAAUUUGGAAGGGAAUUACAAAUUUACAACUCAUUAAAUCAAUCUCCAAAAUCUGUAUAUCAACUUUGUCAAUUCUGGAGAUAGAUUUGAUCUCUAUAGAUGUUCCCUCUCAUUAGUGUAUACUAUCUCAAAAUAGUUUCUGGUUACUAAUAUGGAUGUCUGAAAUACACCUGUUUCAACUCUUGAAUUGCCAAGUAGUCAAUUAGAAUUUUCUUUCCUUUUUAUAUUUUUGAAAUGUUACCCCUAAUUUUGAAUCAAGUGUUUGCCUUAUUUUCUAAAUGAUUACUUUCUAAUUUUUAGAAAGUGCUAGUUGUGAUUACCAAGUGAUUGUCUUACGUAAAGUAAACACUAGCUUCAGAUUUGAAUUAUUGUCUUAGGGUGGUUCUCAUUUGUUUUCUUAGGAUGGGGUAAAUGUUCAGAAGUCCAGCCAUUGCUCCUCCAAUCUCUAUGCUAUUGGUCAACUAAUGCCAUGAUGAUAAUUUGAAUAGCAUCAUCCUAUUGCCUAGAAAAGUAUGAACGAUUUCAAUCAGCACAUUGCCUUGUUGUGUGCCUUGGUGCUGGGAUUAGCAUCUUCGUUGAAUAGAGAGACAGGUGCCUAAAACCUUCGCUUACAAAGAAAGAAAAAGAAAUGAGAAAAUUAACUUCUGUUAAUUCUUUCAAAAAUUAAAUUUCUCUCACUUAGUUGCUUCUUGAGUAAUGAGUGUUUCUUGUAUUUUGAUUUGGGAAUAUGGUUCAGUUUUCUUUUCUAAACAAAACAAAAAAAAAGUUUUCAAGAAACUAUUUUCUCUUGUCAUUGUAUUUCUUGUGAUUUGCUUCUUAGUGGUAAGUGCUGGCUUGCUGCUGGUUUAGUUUUGGGAAUUACAAUCAUCCCAUAUCCAAUCCAAGUUCCACCUAACUUAUUGCUGUAAAUUAAGGUGGUUGGCAGCUCAUCUUUGCUGUCCCGUAACCUCCUCUUGGCCACAUUUUCUGCUGUAAAUUACAGCAAUAUUGCAGUCCUUAGAACACCCCUCACACCUUCUAUUUUUGGUUGCAAAAUGCCUCAGGUGGAAGCCCAAAAACUGCCCCUCUAGCUGCUGUAAAUUAGAGAAGAGAACCUCAAUUUCAGCCCCCACUUCACACCAUCUACUGUUGUAAAUUACAGCAGUUCUCACAUCCAUCUCAGCCCAACUUGCCCCUCUAUUUGGGCAGCAAUUAAUAGCCCAUGGUUAGGCCAAUCUCUGCCCAGCACACUCCCAUUUUUGGACUGUAAGUAGUUGUGCCCAUGGCAACAACCUUGUUUCCUGCUGCAAACACCAGCAGUAGACUAGCCACAUUGCACCCCAUCUCAUCGCCUCAUUUGAUUUUGAUUUACUAAUCACAGCAUGAAUCACCCUUAAGUCCACCUCAUUUAACCUCUCUUUAUUAUUGUAAAUCAUAGCAUAACCAGCCCCAUUCCAACCUAAAUUUAAAUCUUAGGAUGCCUCCCAAUUUCAACCUUACAAACCAUCCUAGUUAAGCCUAUAAAACAACCCAACUUCAAUCCUAGAAGCCAAUCCAAUUCAGCCUUAAGAUCCAUCAUUUUCUUUAGAAGUUUUAGACCCCCUACAAGGAAACUAUAUAACAGAUUAUAUAAAUUAUAUAUAUAUAGAUUGUAUAAUAGAUUAGUAUAUAACAGAUUAUAUAAUUUAUAGACAGAUUUAUAAAAAAAUGACAUUCAAUGCUACUUGUGUUGAGUGCUAUAUAUUACCUUAUGUUUAUGCAAUCCAUAUAUAUAUUUGGGUGGUGUGUGGUUAUUGGCGAGAGUCCAGCACGUGGUGCAUUGUGAUUUUGAUACACUUGCUCUGUUCUUUCAAUGCAUGUCCUCUCUUUCAUUCCUUUCUCCCCUCUUUCAUUCCUUUCUCUCCUUGGUCUGCUCCUAUUGACAUGGCUCCCAUGUGCAAGUGAUGCCUGUGCGAAUCUGUCACUUCUUCCUGUGGUUUGUGCUCUCAUGAGGAGGCGAGGAGAAGCUUGCUGAGCAAGCUAGUCUUCAUUACCUGAGAAAGCUUGAGCAAGCUUCCAUUUUCCUGUUUUUCCACUGCCUCGCUUUCUUCUCAUAGUCUCUUUUCUCUUUUCUCUCUCUCUCUCUCUCUCUCGAUGUGGUGAAACCCCAGCAUAUGGUCAGUGGUGCAUCUGACCCAUCAAUCAUGGUAGUGUAUGGCCAGUGGAGGCUGAUGAUGGAGUGGCUGGUACCCCUUGCAGCGACAUGAGCAAACCUUGAUAGCUAGAUAAAGAGUAGUUUCUUUCUGAAGUUUCAAUUUCGAUGGUGAGUUCUCUAGAAAAACAGAAGUUUCUUCUGGUCUUGCUUUUUUUUUUUCUCUCUCUCUCUUGCUAAGGGUUGGGUUUUUUCUGUUUGAGGGAGGAGUUUCCUCUUCUGCUUCUGUCAGGUAUUCUUUUUCCAUGAAUUUUGGAGUUUAAGUGGCUUUAGUUAUCUCAUUGUUCCUUCUGAAAGCAUCCAUCUACAAAAAGACAGGGCUUCAUGGGUCUCCGAGAAGACAGGGUUUCUUCUCUUUGAUUAACCACAGGUUUGCAGUUCUCCGGUAGUUUUUCUCCCUAUAUCUUCUUUUCUCCACUUUUUCUUUUCUUUUUUGGCAUACUUUCUUUUUCUCUCUCUUCCAGCUUGGGGUCUUCAACUAGCCAUAUGAAUGAAAUCGAACAUUCCAAGCCCUUGUCCAGAGUGUCAACAUUGGACGGUCGAUGGCCUGAAGAAGCUUCAAUGGAUCCUUUCUCUUCCAUUAAGGUUAAAAAAUUUGGCCAUAAGAGUGAGAUUUUGAUUGGUCACAAGAGAAGAAAUACAAGCAAGCUCUGGAUUCUUUAAGGAGAAUGCUUAAUAAACAUAGAACUUUCCUACAAGGUUUAUUCAGUUUUUCAUUCUCUACUCUCCCUUUUUCCAAUGGUAAAGAAAGGAGAAGGAAGAGACCCCUUAAUGCACCAAAGGAUCAAAACAGGCAAGAAACUGAGCUCAAAGACAUAUCGUCAACAAGCUAAAACCAUAUGCAGUAAUGGAUUACAUUGUGUUCAAAGGAAGACCAUACACAGUUUGAUUUUUCAAAACAUUCUUAAUAUUUGUGGCUCGUUAUAGAUACGGAGUAAUAGGUUUUGGCUAUAUUCUUGACGAUUUUUCUUUUAUUUUUUUAGUUUAUUGUCCUGAAAUGAAGUUUUGAUUUCUUUGGGUUCUUAGGUUUUUCACUUCCAAACCAGUACGACCAGCUAUUGGUCAGGUAAAUGUGCUUCCCAGUUCCUUCAUAGCUUCCUCCUUUGGUAGGGUUUGUUUUAUUAUUUCCUAGUUUUCUUCGUUGGUAGGAGAGAGGAAGUGUAGCGGAGUGGAAAUGGAGCUUCAUUUCUCGAAUGUUUUGAGGAAGUGUAGCAAAGUGGAAAUGAAGCUUCAUUUCUUGAAUGUUUUGCUUGGUUUUGUGUUGUUCAUUUGAUUAGGGGAUUGGGUUUUGUUUUUCUAUUUAUUUCGUGUUCUAUUAUAUUAUUUGGUUUGUUGUUUUCCUCUUUGAUUUGUAACAGGUUUUGUGAACUAUUCUUUUUUGGCAUGUUUCACAAGGUUGGAGUUAAAUAACAACAUCAUAUUUCUGCCAUUUUAAUUAAUAAAUUACUUUUGAAGUUGUUAUUUUUCUAUGUAUGGUUUUCAUUCUUCUUUUGCAGGUUAGUUGUCUGGCAAGAGAUUCUCUGGUUAGGAGAUUUGGGGUGUGAUGGGCAUUUAGGUUUUGGGGAGGGCUACCCCUGUUUCUGGCUAUAUUUUUAACUUACUAACUAGGAUAUCAUAUAAUUCCAUUUGUAACUAUGUUAUCAUACAUUUUAUGAAUUUUUCUGUUAAGCAAUUUUCUUGAAAUUCUAGCAGAUUGUGCA